GAUGAACGCUGGCGGUAUGCUUAACACAUGCAAGUCGAACGGACUCUUCGGAGUUAGUGGCGGACGGGUGAGUAACGCGUGAGAAUCUGGCUUUGGGUUCGGGACAACCACUGGAAACGGUGGCUAAUACCGGAUGUGCCGAGAGGUAAAAGAGAAAUUGCCUGAAGAUGAGCUCGCGUCUGAUUAGCUUGUUGGUGAGGUAAAGGCUCACCAAGGCAGCGAUCAGUAGCUGGUCUGAGAGGAUGACCAGCCACACUGGGACUGAGACACGGCCCAGACUCCUACGGGAGGCAGCAGUGGGGAAUUUUCCGCAAUGGGCGAAAGCCUGACGGAGCAAUACCGCGUGAGGGAAGAAGGCUCUUGGGUUGUAAACCUCUUUUCUUAGGGAAGAACAAAAUGACGGUACCUAAGGAAUCAGCAUCGGCUAACUCCGUG
rnacentral:rRNA from 1 species